rnacentral:rRNA from 1 species
UACGUAGGGUGCAAGCGUUAAUCAGAAUUACUGGGCGUAAAGCGUGCGCAGGCGGUUUUGUAAGUUUGUCGUGAAAGCCCCGGGCUCAACCUGGGAAUGGCGAUGAAGACUGCAAGGCUUGAAUCUGGCAGAGGGGGGUAGAAUUCCACGUGUAGCAGUGAAAUGCGUAGAGAUGUGGAGGAACACCGAUGGCGAAGGCAGCCCCCUGGGUCAAGAUUGACGCUCAUGCACGAAAGCGUGGGGAGCAAACAGG